rnacentral:tRNA from 1 species
GGGCUCGUGGUCUAGUGGCAAUGACAGCGCCCUUACAAGGCGUUGAUCGCCGGUUCGAGUCCGGCCGGGCCCA